UACGAAGGGGGCUAGCGUUGCUCGGAAUCACUGGGCGUAAAGCGCACGUAGGCGGCUUUUUAAGUCAGGGGUGAAAUCCUGGAGCUCAACUCCAGAACUGCCUUUGAUACUGGGAAGCUUGAGUCCGGGAGAGGUGAGUGGAACUCCGAGUGUAGAGGUGAAAUUCGUAGAUAUUCGGAAGAACACCAGUGGUGAAGGCGGCUCACUGGCCCGGUACUGACGCUGAGGUGCGAAAGCGUGGGGAGCAAACAGG
rnacentral:rRNA from 1 species